UGGACGCAUCUGAUUGGACCAAUAACACGUCCAACCACGCAUACCACUGAUUAUCUAUUCUUCUUCUUUCAUCUACUUUUUCGCCGAUGCCGCCUCCCCUCAACCCCAGAAGCGAUAUGAUAAUCUUACCUUUCUUCUGCUUCCAUGCUACUUCGGCUCCUUCAGAAUAGCUACGAUGUUGCUCUGUCGUGUCCGCUCAAAUUAAGCUUGCGUUGCCUCGAACGACGGCGUUAUUUCAGAGUUCUUUGAAAUUUUAAAGGCAACACGCCCUGAAAUUUUCCCUCUUCCUCUUCAUCUUCUACAGAAGAUCAUCUAUGUCUAACUACACUAGAAGGUAUGCUGUGAGGUGAUAACUGUCAUUAGGCAGUGUUUUCUGCCAACAACAAAUUUUUGUAUCACCAAACGUCAGACAUAAUCGUCUGCUAAGAAGAAGUGAAAUUUAUGAGGAAAUUCAGGUUGAUGCAUUUGCGAAGAUUUUUCCGCAGGGGUGCACGUGGUUUCCUUGUGAGGUACAAGAUGAAGAUGAAGUGAUUGUAAAAUCUACUGAAGAGACUGACCAAGUCAUGUUGGGGUGGUUUGGAAAGCAUCUCAAGCCUGGAUAGAUAAUACAUUCUUGGUUCUUGGUCCCCUUGGACGAUGUAAGAUUGGUAGUAGCAUUGUGCAAUGUGGAGCUUCGAGUUCCGAUCAUUAUAUUCGGCGACUAUUUUGCUUUCUGCAUUGAGUCCGCGUUCUGUGGUUCUCCUGCCUUCAGCUGAGGAGAAUUUCUAUUUUUAUGCAUUAAAAAUUGUAAUCAUGCUACUUCAACUUUACCAGAAUCGAUUUGUUGUUGUUUUUACUUUUGAUAUUCUGUGAGGAUUGAAACGAUGUGAUGAAAGAAAAUUCAGAAUAAUUUGUAGUGCUUUAUUUAGUAUUUUCAUAGGAGCAGGUAGUUAAUAAAGUUUGUUGGUACCUUCUUCACUGUUCA